CCAAGAUGUUUUUCUAAAUACUCCAGAAAAUUAUGUCUUAGACCACAUCCUCAAAAAGACUUCCGGGCAUACUUUGAAGGCAAGCUAGAUUAUACACUGUGUAACAAUUAUUACCUCUGGAGAGCCCAACCAUCUGGGCUCCACACCCUCUUGGAAGAAAUGCUGCCAGCAGAAGGUACGGCCCAGAUUAGAGAUGAGUCUUCCUUCCCACCUCAAAAGAUCUGGAUUAAAGG